rfam:Ixodes scapularis strain Wikel colony gcontig_1108378539488, whole genome shotgun sequence.
UCCUGGUUAGCUUAGUUGGUAGGGUGGUCCACUGGAAAUGGAGAGGUCUCUGGUUCGAUACCAGGACCAGGCG